GAUAAAUUUGACUUAUGGAACAAAUACGAAUGAAAAAUGAAAAAAAUUGGACAUAAAUAUUUACGUGAAAAAAUUCCCCCGGAGAAGAUAAAAAAACCAUAGGAAAAGAAAAGUUCACUAAAAUAGCAAAAAAACGAAGAGGAAUACAAGAUGGAGAAACAAUAAACAAACCCGAACCCGAAAUACAAAGUUCUUUCAAAAUUCCCA
rnacentral:lncRNA from 1 species